rnacentral:tRNA from 1 species
CGGGGCGUGGCUCAGCCUGGAUAGAGCGCCGCGUUCGGGACGCGGAGGUCGGUGGUUCGAAUCCACUCGCCCCGACAA